AGAAAAAUUAUAAUGAGGAGCAUACAGUUUUUCUUCACAUAAAGAGUAAGCUACCAUGUGAAUUAUGCAGCGUGUGGAGCUUUCCAAUAGGUGUAUUUACAUGGAAAACUGAAAAGAGCAUCUGUUAUGUAAAAGUAGAAGCAGAACGUUCAUAAGGAAGGCGGUGUUCAGGAAUCCCAUCUUCAGCUCGUUUGUCCUCGAACCAUUUCACCACCCUUUUCUUAGGCAGGUUUGUCAGAUGCACAAUGUUGCUGAUCAUGGCAUUCUGAACAUGUUUUAGAACAGUUAGAUUCCAGAUUAUGAUAAGAUAGCAUCAUAAGAAAGUGUUUUCUGAAGAAUUUUCAUGUAAAUUGCAUAAAUAUUGGAGGAAUUGUAUCUGAAGCCAUAUAACUUUGAUGGGAUUAUUAUUACUAGUUAGCGGGGGAUGUGGAAAAUAGAUCCACAAUAAUAUAAUAUGACUGCAGUAACAAAUCAAAUUUUUAAUCACAGCACACCACAUAUAUUAUUUGAAAUGUCAAAUUAUUAUUCCGAAUUACCUAAUUACAAGAUAUUAACCGCACCUGCCAGAUAAUGCGGGCAUGCUGGAAAAUUCAACAGAAUCCAGAUUUCACAAAGAAACAAAAAAUUGUCUCAUGGUGGAUUGAAGACCCUCUACAGGUUUUACUCCUAGAAUGUCUAAAAAGUAUUAGGUGACUUGUUGAACCUACAGCUCAAGUUUCUCUUCUUGAGCUUGCUAUCAGCUGCUUACGGGCUUUGUUUCAAGUUUUAAGUAGAAACAAUAUUCGUUUAUUGUUCUCGCAUCUAUUUUCUUUCCUAAACUUCAGCAACCAAAUAGUUGCAUUGAAGUUUUAGAAUCCUAAUGUGGCAUAUCAGGCCUAAUGCAAGUCAAAUUCUAUUAAUUAUAAACCAUCAAACCUGAACUUCUGGAUGUACUUGUUUAUUCUCAACAUACCCAAAUUACCCCAGUUUGUGUCUAAUAUUUUCUAGAAACCAGAAGCAAUGAACCUUUACACACUAUCUUAACAUUUCAGCAUCAUAUCAGCACAAAGAAAUUGCAUAUUUGACCACUGCUAUAAACCCCAUCGACGAUCGAGUUUUUCCUUUUUCUUAGCCAGAAUUGCAUCAACUACACAAAUAAGCCAAUUCCAAUAAUUUUAGAUCCCUAAAGUUUAGGAUUUUCUUUGGACCUUGUAAAGGCAUUAACUUGACAAUUCUAAAGCCUGCAUGUUUUAUUCCAUAUAUUUGCUAGUUUACCUAACCAGCAUUUCCUUCUUCAGAUUAGUUCUGCCAAUAAAUAUUCCCACAUUUUCACAAAAGGAAGUCUGAUUCUAAUGCAAAAGCAUGUAAUGGACUAAAUUUGUUUGAUGUCACAUAAGCACUCAUUCUAGCAUACUCACCGAGGGACGCUUUGUUCGGUUAUAUACACGUUCAAGAGUAUCAAGUUGAGCUUUUUUAAUUCUCUUUUUAGCAGACCAGUUGCUUUGCAUCACAUGAACCGGCACUUUCACCUCAGCCUCAGCCUUCGUGGUUACUGGUGUCAUCUCCAAAGGACUUGCUUCUUUCAGUUUGUUUACUGGCUCUACUACUGUUGAAACAGGUUUAUCAGGCAAAGCAGCACUCAUCAUCAGAAGAUCUGGAGGAGGAUCACGAAGCAGUUCAAGGACAACAGCUCUAUCAAGACAUAAAUCAGCUGCGAGACUUUUAAUCUGCCAGCCAAGAAUAGACAAGUAUUAGAGACUUAGAAAUGGGCCAGGCAUGAUGACUGACUGCUCCAUUCCACUUUAUUAUUGUUUUCCAUGGACACCUUACACUCACACCAUCAUGUUACUUUGCUUCAAGAUCAAAAUAAUCAUGCUUUCUUUUGAAAAGGGAAGGGGAAAGUCCACGGCAUUAACUUUAAACAUGAUAAAAGUUAUUUUUGCUAUACCAGAAGUGGUUGGCAGAAAUGGCAGAGGGUUCUAUCAGAUCAAGAUCCAGGUAGAAGUCAACGGGUUGAAAAAUGGUGUACUAAGACGUAAAUUCAUGGAUUUUAUCUUAACCCAACCAAAAUUUGCUCAAUUAGUGGUUAAAGCUGCAAUUGCAAACAUUCUGAAGUACAACUUACAUUGGUCUUACGCCGACCAUUUUUUAAAGCAUAAGCCAGUCUCUUAAGCUGCCAAUUUUUUAAUUUCACUGGCAUUUCUUCAUCGUUAUCAUCUUCUUCAAGAUCCUCGACAUGAUAAUUAGCAGUAUUAUCGUCCUCAUUUUCUUCUUCUUUCUCGUCUUCAUCAGAUUCAUCCUCUGUUUUGCCAUCCCCAACCAAGUCCAGAGCCCCACAAAGUUCAUCAUCCUUCAGUGCCUCUUCUAAUUCACGUUCAAGCUUUGCAAGGUCCUCUUCACUUAUUUCAUCAUCAUCAUCACCAUUUUCUGAAGAUAGAUUAUCAUUUUUCAAGUCUUCUUCCAGCUGGCGAAAGAGGGCCUCAAAGGCAU
rnacentral:lncRNA from 1 species